rnacentral:miRNA from 1 species
UGCUCUGAGAGACCUUCCUAACA